rnacentral:tRNA from 1 species
GGGGUUUAGCUCAGUUGGCAGAGCGUCUGCUUUGCAUGCAGAAGGUCAGGGGUAAUUCCCCUA